ACAGAUUCAGUGGUAGAAUAUUUGCUUGGCAUGCAGAAGGUCCAAGGUUCAAUCUCUGGUAUCUGCA
rnacentral:tRNA from 1 species